ACCAGUGUGGUGUAGUGGUUUGAAUUUUGGACUGUGACUCUGGAGACCAGGGUUCGAGUCCACACUCAGACA